rnacentral:lncRNA from 1 species
GUUGGGGAUGUUUCCAUAACCGGCACUUGGCAAAAUUGCGGAUUUGUUUACAUCGGAAGUGAGCGUACGUGCGCCAGAAUAUGGUAACCCUGAUAAUUGUUGCAACCCACACAGGGAAUUUUCCUGAAGGAGGAAAAGGGAAAUUUUCUGUUUACUUUUCGAACAUUACGGUAAGAGAAAAUAAAGUUUGAAAGUCGCAAAUCAUUAUUAGUUCAUAUUUUCGCAAAACGUUUAUGGGGUUUAUUUUUCGAACAUUACGGUAAAAGAAAAUAAAGUUUUUUAUAUUUUCGCAAAACGUUUAUGGGGUUUGGGGAGUUAAAAAAUGCAGCAAAUUAUUAUUAUUAACAUAACAAAAUGUUCCUUUUUUAGGUAUUAUAUAUGUUAUAAAUAUUGCUAUUGCCAUGAAGACAAACUGGGCAAAGUUAAAAUGAUACCAACAACAACAGCAUUUAAUUUAUUAUAGCUUUUUUCUUACUUUUACUAGAAUUCUAAUGAUAAAAUGAUUAGUGCAUUUAAAUACAUAUUAAAUGAAAAUAUUAAAAUAGAUAUGGAGAUGCAUUAAAUAUGAUUUGGACUAAUUUAAUUAUGUAUUCUUACAUAUAUAGCUAUGCACAUUUAAUUUUUCUCAAUAAAAAUAAUUAAGCUAUCCUUAUUAUUUUUAUAUGUCUAUACAUUUUUUAACUCUGCACAUAGCUACUCAGAAAGAAAGAUAUAUGGGUAGGAUAUAAGAAGAUAAAAAUUAUUAAUCUUCCCUUCAAAGUCAAAUGGAUAUAGCUGUAGUAUAUGAUUUCAAAAAAAAGUAAAUCAUUAGAAUAUUAAGCUGAAAAUAUAAGUCUGAAAGAAAGAGAUUUUUCUUAAAUUCAAACUGUGCACAAAACAUUUCAGAUGCAUUCAAACUCUGAACUGGAACAUGUUAAUUUACUGUUGUGGAACUAAUAUGAAAAUAAUAUUGUUGACAGUAUAGUAGUGUACCACCAAAGAAUUUAUGCUGGGAGAAGAAGCAAAGCUUCGAUGACACCACAAAGCCAAAUGAUAACUGGCUUAAUUUUUACUCUUUUUAUGCAUAAAAUGUCAUAGUUGUUAGUAUCUCAUUAAAAUGUAUUUUCUAAUAAUAUAAUGAUUUGCAAAUGAUGGAAAUUUACUUGUCAUUAAAACAUUUUGUUCUAAACAUGCUUCAGCUUAUCAAAGAAGUUAAAGCUAUUCCAACCUAUCCCCCAUAUUAAAGUUUUUUUGAUUAAAUCAGGUUCAUGUCUAAUGCAUCAAAAAUAUAAAUAAACCUUCUUUAGUAUUUGUCAAACAUCAGUUCUCAUGGCCUUAAAUUGGAUGCAAGAUUUAUUUCACAAAGUUAUGUUUUCACUUAUGGGGCAAAACUUUUAAAUUUGUUAUUUGAAUCUGUUACAUUAGUCUUUAUUUUAAAGAAUAUAUUGUAUGUCAUAUGGCCAUGAAGGCAACCUGGUUAAAGUAGAAAUGAAAUCAAACUUUCUAAUUAAUGUGAUUUGAAGCCAUUGUGUUAUACUUCGAGGAAUAUGUUAUAUGGUAAAUAUGUGUGCUCAUGUUUUUCCUGGAAAGGGCAUAACAUUUUUUUACAGAAAUAAGUUACCAACCUAAAUCUAUUGUCAUGGCAAUUAAAUUUUUCUGAAAGAGCAGGAUUAUUUAUAAGCCAAGUGCUAAACCUUUGUAUUGUUACCCUGAUCAUGAAAUUUUAAAUGGUGAUUUAAUUUCUUUUUUCAGGUUGAACUGCCCUUCAAUGAAAGCUUUUGCUCGAUGUGUGGCCUGUAAUAGCAAUAAAUGGGACUUUUGUGAACUGAAAUCUGUUAGGCUUUCCAAAAUCCAGAAAGCUGAUUAGGUGUGCAGAAGCAGCAGACUUGUAAAUGUGAAGGAGCUAUUUGCUUAGUUAUGCAGUAGAAUUCACCACCCUGCGGCAAGCUUCAUUAAAGCUGUGAACAGCCAAGCUAACCAUCUUCAGGGCAAGUGGCUGCAUCAAGCAAACCCAGUGACAUUCCAAAGAGGAAUGUCAGUCAAAAUAAAAACUUAAUACCUAAAUCUCGGAAAAUCAGACAAUUAAGCCACAAAUCUUGUGACCAAUUUUUCAGUUGCUGUGCUUAGUGCGAUAAAGUUAUAUGGCAAUAAACUGAAAAGCUAUGGCAGGUAUUCUAUUGUACCCUUUAAUGAAAUCAAUUUAAAGCAAGCUUAUCAUAUGAUAAGCAAAAUGAUUGUAUCAUUGGAUAUGAAGACUAUGGUAAUGAUUGCAUUGCUGGGUAUGCAGGCUAUGGUUCUACAAUGAGCCAAAUGUAAUAUCUCAGUAUGCUGUGACUAUUAAAAUUAUAACUUAUGUAUUAUUACUUCAUAUUGGUCAUUAUGUUCCAAAAUAGAUGCUCUUUUUAUAUAGAACUAUAUAAAUGUAGAAAAUCUGAGAAGUUAAUUUUAUAUGGAAAGCCUUCGUGCAAAAUUAAUAGCAUCUUGUUAAUUUCAUAUAUGUUUUGUGAAAGUAAUUGCUGCUGAAUCUAGAAUUAAUGCAUUAUCUGAGAUUUGAGACAAAAUUUGUCAAAUUAGAAGAUAGUGAAAUAGAUAAAUAGGAAAUGAAACAUGAAAUUUAUAUAUUUAAUAUUGAAAUAAAUAUCUCAGUAAAGUGGCUGUAUGUAAAGUAUAAUGAUGCAAUUUUUAUAAUUUUUUACUAAAAUGCUAAAAUUAUGUGCUAUGAAAAUUUUAUUUUCAUUAAUAUUUAUAAUUUUUUCCUCGCAAAUUUUUAUCCAAGGUGUCUAUGUUUUAGCUAUUUUAGAUUUUUCUGUUUUAAUGUUAAAAAUAUCUUCUUUAUCAGCAUUACAUUAAAAUCCAUCUCAUAAUCAUUUGAAAACGAAGGAAAUUUCAUUCUUUUCAAUAGUUUAAGAAUAUUUUCAUAAAACAUAAUUAUAGAAAAAAUGAACUGAUACAUUUAUAGUUAUAUAUAUGUAAAGAAAAUUUUUUAGAAGGAUCCUUUUUUCCAUACCAGAAACAUUUCAUGAGCUGUAAUAUGUAAUAUUAGUUGGCCUAAUAUGUAAAAGGAAUGUUUAAUCAAAUUAUUUUUAUUAUGCUUUUAUAAAUAUCACUAUAAUUUUAAGAGUUAUUGAAUUUAAAAGUGAAAGAAAAAGCUACAGUUAUUUCAAGACUCUUUAAUAAAACAAUUCUUUAUUCUUGUAUUCUCGUAUGAAAAUUUUCUGUAUAUUUAACAUAAAAUUGUAUGCAUGUAAAUAAAUUUUUUAAUUUAUUAUUAUCAUUC